rnacentral:rRNA from 1 species
UAGGGAAUCUUCCGCAAUGGACGAAAGUCUGACGGAGCAACGCCGCGUGAGUGAAGAAGGAUUUCGGUUCGUAAAACUCUGUUGUUAGGGAAGAAAAAAUGUAUAGUAACUAUAUACAAAAGAGACGGUACCUAACCAGAAAGCCACGGCUAACUACGUGCCAGCAGCCGCGGUAAUACGUAGGUGGCAAGCGUUGUCCGGAAUUAUUGGGCGUAAAGCGCGCGCAGGUGGUUUAGAACGUCUGAUGUGAAAGCCCACGGCUCAACCGUGGAGGGUCAUUGGAAACUAAUAAACUUGAGUGCAGGAGAGAAAAGUGGAAUUCCUAGUGUAGCGGUGAAAUGCGUAGAGAUUAGGAGGAACACCGGUGGCGAAGGCGACUUUCUGGACGAAAACCGACGCUGAGGCGCGAAAGCAUGGGGGGCAAACAGG